UACAGAGGGUGCGAGCGUUGUUCGGAAUUACUGGGCGUAAAGCGCGCGCAGGCGGCUUCCUAAGUCUCGCGGUCAAAUGCCGGGGCUCAACCCCGAGCGUGCCAGGGAUACUGGGAGGCUGGAGACAGGUAGAGGCAAGCGGAAUUCCGGGUGUAGCGGUGAAAUGCGCAGAUAUCGGGAGGAGCACCAAUGGCGAAGGCAGCUCGCUGGGACGGUACUGACGCUGAGACGCGAAAGCGUGGGGAGCAAACAGG
rnacentral:rRNA from 1 species